rnacentral:rRNA from 1 species
GAUGAACGCUGGCGGCGUGCCUAAUACAUGCAAGUCGAGCGAACGGACGAGAAGCUUGCUUCUCUGAUGUUAGCGGCGGACGGGUGAGUAACACGUGGAUAACCUACCUAUAAGACUGGGAUAACUUCGGGAAACCGGAGCUAAUACCGGAUAAUAUUUUGAACCGCACGGUUCAAAAGUGAAAGACGGUCUUGCUGUCACUUAUAGAUGGAUCCGCGCUGCAUUAGCCAGUUGGUAAGGUAACGGCUUACCAAGGCAACGAUGCAUAGCCGACCUGAGAGGGUGAUCGGCCACACUGGAACUGAGACACGGUCCAGACUCCUACGGGAGGCAGCAGUAGGGAAUCUUCCGCAAUGGGCGAAAGCCUGACGGAGCAACGCCGCGUGAGUGAUGAAGGUCUUCGGAUCGUAAAACUCUGUUAUUAGGGAAGAACAUAUGUGUAAGUAACUGUGCACAUCUUGACGGUACCUAAUCAGAAAGCCACGGCUAACUACGUG